GAUCUAGCCAUGGGCAGGUUGAAGGUUGGGUAACACUAACUGGAGGACCGAACCGACUAAUGUUGAAAAAUUAGCGGAUGACUUGUGGCUGGGGGUGAAAGGCCAAUCAAACCGGGAGAUAGCUGGUUCUCCCCGAAAGCUAUUUAGGUAGCGCCUCGUGAACUCAUCUUCGGGGGUAGAGCACUGUUUCGGCUAGGGGGUCAUCCCGACUUACCAACCCGAUGCAAACUACGAAUACCGAAGAAUGUUAUCACGGGAGACACACGGCGGGUGCUAACGUCCGUCGUGAAGAGGGAAACAACCCAGACCGCCAGCUAAGGUCCCAAAGUCAUGGUUAAGUGGGAAACGAUGUGGGAAGGCACAGACAGCCAGGAUGUUGGCUUAGAAGCAGCCAUCAUUUAAAGAAAGCGUAAUAGCUCACUGGUCGAGUCGGCCUGCGCGGAAGAUGUAACGGGGCUAAACCAUGCACCGAAGCUGCGGCAGCGACACUAUGUGUUGUUGGGUAGGGGAGCGUUCUGUAAGCCUGCGAAGGUGGCCUGUGAGGGUUGCUGGAGGUAUCAGAAGUGCGAAUGCUGACAUAAGUAACGAUAAAGCGGGUGAAAAGCCCGCUCGCCGGAAGACCAAGGGUUCCUGUCCAACGUUAAUCGGGGCAGGGUGAGUCGACCCCUAAGGCGAGGCCGAAAGGCGUAGUCGAUGGGAAACAGGUUAAUAUUCCUGUACUUGGUGUUACUGCGAAGGGGGGACGGAGAAGGCUAUGUUAGCCGGGCGACGGUUGUCCCGGUUUAAGCAUGUAGGCUGAUUAUCCAGGCAAAUCCGGAUAAUCAAGGCUGAGGUGUGAUGACGAGGCACUACGGUGCUGAAGUAACAAAUGCCCUGCUUCCAGGAAAAGCCUCUAAGCAUCAGGUAACAUCAAAUCGUACCCCAAACCGACACAGGUGGUCAGGUAGAGAAUACCAAGGCGCUUGAGAGAACUCGGGUGAAGGAACUAGGCAAAAUGGUGCCGUAACUUCGGGAGAAGGCACGCUGGUGUGUAGGUGAAGUCCCUGCGGAUGGAGCUGAGACCAGUCGAAGAUACCAGCUGGCUGCAACUGUUUAUUAAAAACACAGCACUGUGCAAACACGAAAGUGGACGUAUACGGUGUGACGCCUGCCCGGUGCCGGAAGGUUAAUUGAUGGGGUUAUCCGUAAGGAGAAGCUCUUGAUCGAAGCCCCGGUAAACGGCGGCCGUAACUAUAACGGUCCUAAGGUAGCGAAAUUCCUUGUCGGGUAAGUUCCGACCUGCACGAAUGGCGUAAUGAUGGCCAGGCUGUCUCCACCCGAGACUCAGUGAAAUUGAACUCGCUGUGAAGAUGCAGUGUACCCGCGGCAAGACGGAAAGACCCCGUGAACCUUUACUAUAGCUUGACACUGAACAUUGAGCCUUGAUGUGUAGGAUAGGUGGGAGGCUUUGAAGCGUGGACGCCAGUCUGCGUGGAGCCAACCUUGAAAUACCACCCUUUAAUGUUUGAUGUUCUAACGUAGGCCCCUUAUCGGGGUUGCGGACAGUGUCUGGUGGGUAGUUUGACUGGGGCGGUCUCCUCCCAAAGCGUAACGGAGGAGCACGAAGGUUAGCUAAUCCUGGUCGGACAUCAGGAGGUUAGUGCAAUGGCAUAAGCUAGCUUGACUGCGAGCGUGACGGCGCGAGCAGGUGCGAAAGCAGGUCAUAGUGAUCCGGUGGUUCUGAAUGGAAGGGCCAUCGCUCAACGGAUAAAAGGUACUCCGGGGAUAACAGGCUGAUACCGCCCAAGAGUUCAUAUCGACGGCGGUGUUUGGCACCUCGAUGUCGGCUCAUCACAUCCUGGGGCUGAAGUAGGUCCCAAGGGUAUGGCUGUUCGCCAUUUAAAGUGGUACGCGAGCUGGGUUUAGAACGUCGUGAGACAGUUCGGUCCCUAUCUGCCGUGGGCGCUGGAGAAUUGAGGGGGGCUGCUCCUAGUACGAGAGGACCGGAGUGGACGCAUCACUGGUGUUCGGGUUGUCAUGCCAAUGGCACUGCCCGGUAGCUAAAUGCGGAAGAGAUAAGUGCUGAAAGCAUCUAAGCACGAAACUUGCCCCGAGAUGAGUUCUCCCUGAGACUUUAAGUCUCCUGAAGGAACGUUGAAGACGACGACGUUGAUAGGCCGGGUGUGUAAGCGCAGCGAUGCGUUGAGCUAACCGGUACUAAUGAACCGUGAGGCUUAACCUU
rnacentral:rRNA from 2 species